UACGUAGGGGGCUAGCGUUGUCCGGAAUCAUUGGGCGUAAAGCGCGUGUAGGCGGUCCGGUAAGUCCGCUGUGAAAGUCGGGGGCUCAACCCUCGGAUGCCGGUGGAUACUGUCGGGCUUGAGUACGGAAGAGGCGAGUGGAAUUCCCGGUGUAGCGGUGAAAUGUGUAGAUAUCGGGAGGAACACCAAUGGCGAAGGCAGCACUCUGGGACGUGACUGACGCUGAGACGCGAAAGCGUGGGGAGCAAACAGG
rnacentral:rRNA from 1 species